UGAAAGCUCAUGUGUGACACAAUGAAGAAGGCUUAGAGAAAUGAAAUCACAAAGUCACUGAAUAUCAGCAGAUUCAACUUCACUGGAUAGUUCCCGAGACAGGCAGAAGUCCACAUCCUGACUCCGCAACUGUGAGCAGUAAUGUUGUACACAACGGGGAACUAAAGUCACAGAUGAAGCCCUUCUGCACAGAGUGGCCACAUGGUGAUGACAGUUCUGAUGAAGACCAACUAAUGUCAAAAAGUCCACUACCCAAGGUGAAGGAACAAAGAAUGAGAAGGUGGUCCUCAGUUCUCAAGGUGAACUUCAAACAAUAAUCAAUGUGGAAGCAGCUCUGUAUCCCUUGUCAUUCCCUGCCCAGAGAUGACUCACUCCAUCUCUUGGGAAUGCUCUCUGCUUGAG